rnacentral:rRNA from 1 species
UCCGAAUGGGGAAACCCAGUGUGUUUCGACACACUAUCAUUAACUGAAUCCAUAGGUUAAUGAGGCGAACCGGGGGAACUGAAACAUCUAAGUACCCCGAGGAAAAGAAAUCAACCGAGAUUCCCCCAGUAGCGGCGAGCGAACGGGGAGCAGCCCAGAGCCUGAAUCAGUGUGUGUGUUAGUGGAAGCGUCUGGAAAGGCGCGCGAUACAGGGUGACAGCCCCGUACACAAAAAUGCACAUGCUGUGAGCUCGAUGAGUAGGGCGGGACACGUGGUAUCCUGUCUGAAUAUGGGGGGACCAUCCUCCAAGGCUAAAUACUCCUGACUGACCGAUAGUGAACCAGUACCGUGAGGGAAAGGCGAAAAGAACCCCGGCGAGGGGAGUGAAAAAGAACCUGA